UAACAACUUGGAGUAACCACGUUCUCUCUAACUCUGUGCGCAACCCUACUCUGAAUUUCUAAAUUAUGUGUUGCCUAUUAAUUAGGUUGUUUUCUGAAUUUCUGCAUGCGACCCAAGUGCUGCCAUGUUCCCUGAUAAUUUUCUUUCUCUGAAUUUUUGUGUGGUGCCAUGUUCUGUACAUGACAUGCACUCUGAAAUUCAUAGUAUCUUGUGCAGUCAGUAUUGGGUGCAUACUCUUGACUUUUGAGGUGCCACUGGAUGUAAAAAUUCAUAUGCCCAAUGCUACAUGCAAGCUCUUGGUACGGUGGAUCUUGAUAGAUCUUUUUACGGUCCUAUAUAUGCAUACUGAUGGAUGGGGCCGUGAUCUUUAUUGGUAAUUGCUGCCGGAGCAAGCAGGGAUCUUGGCUCUGUACAUAAUGAGUUAAUUGUUCUUGAUCGGUUGUCGUGCGUUAAUUGAUUAUUAGGACAGCCUUACAUUAAGAAGAUUAAUGAUCUCUUUUGAUUUGCGCUAUGUAGAUUUAAUUUCCUGAUCAUCCAGGUCAAUCAUUGGCCAUCGAUUUUUAGUUAAGUUCUACUAUAUGUGUUUUUGUUGUGGAGAUUUGGUGCCAUUGCCCGACUACACGGCCUCAAAUUGUGCGCUCAUAACGCUACAAUAAAAAUCUGCUUGUGCAUGCUAUUUGAUCAAGGGCAUAAAUUGCAGGAAGGUGGGUUAGCUUUCAUUGCCUGAUUGCAAACAAAAAUUAUUUCAUUUAUGGUGUGAAAUGUUCUUCACUAUAUGACGAGAAUAAAGGAUUGAAACAUCAGCGAGAAUGAUUAUAUUUUCUAUCAUAGAGAGAAAGAAUAUAUAGGUAUGCCUCUACUUUUUUUCAUCCUCCCUUCCCUGCUUGGACUGCCUCUGUAUUCUUGGUCCAACAAGAAUUAUGUUGCGCCGGAGACAAAAAGUAGAUUUUUUUCCCUUUCAUCGACACUUUCACUUCCAACUUGCUCCUCGGUUUUUUGGUUUUGCCGACUUUCCCGACUGAUUUUUCUUAAGCCACUUCAACUGCCCCAUGUCUUUUUGGUCUACCACAUCUGACAUGUGGACACCAUCGCUACCGUCAGCGUGGGUGGGAAGGAGGAUAAGCGGCAAUACAUGUGGGGCAUCGCAUUGAAUUUUUUUUAAAAGGACGUGGCACUAUGUGUGCAGAAGGAGGAGGAUUUUGAUAUGUAUUUUUCUCCUGUUGCAACUGCUCCUUUCUUUUUUUUUGAGGGAUGUUGCAACUGCUUCUACGUGCAUGCACUGGCUAAAUCAACUCGAUCCAUGAAAAUAUAGAAAGUAUGGACACGGAUGCAUCUAAGUGUACUCUUACAUGUCAACUUUUUAUCACGUUGCAAACAAGUUGCGUUUGACAAAAAAUUCCCAUGAUGCACUAUGCUUAGAUAUAACAUUCAGUUUUCUCCCGUUGCAACGCACGGGUAUUUGUGCUAGUAAUAAUAAAGCACGGAUUGAGUCUCCGGGUUCACCGUCGCGGCAUUUUUACACAAAGGUGCCCGUGCUUUUUAGGAAUUAAACCCGCCGUCCGUAUAUUUUAGUGAAUAAUUGAAGAAACGUUUUGUUUAAAAAAACCUACAUCUGUAUGUAUUCAACCCGCGGUUCCUCUGUUUCAUCUUAUCCAGAUUCCCCCUCCUCGUGGCGCUCCGCCCCGCCCCGCCCACCUCCUACUACGCCCCUCGCGCCGCUGGCCGCCUCCUGCCUCGCUCCGCCCCUCACCACGCGCCGCCGGCCUUCUCCUGCCUCCUAAUCCCAUCUCCUCCUUACCCGCGGCUUUCUUCGCCGUUCACCGCUCCUUUCCACCUACUGGUCGCGACCUCGUGGGAGGCAGAGGAUGGGAAGGUGCGGCGCUGGCGUCCGGCUCCAGGAGCUCGAGAGGGCCGAUCUGCACGUCCGCGACCUCGCGGGAGGCAUGGCGUGGCGUGCUGCGCUCGAUACGAGCGGGAUCGAGUAAGGGGAUUGGAGGGUGGCGCCGGCGGGAUCGCGGACGGGGAUGGAGUGGGCGGGUGCCGGCAAGAUCGAGGUCGGGGAUGGAGAGGGCGGUCGGCGAGCUGGCGGCUGAGGAUGGAAGAGGCGGCGCUAAUUCGCUGCUACCCGCACCGCACCACGUCCCUAGCUUCCUCCUCUCUGAUCGAACCGAGUCCGUUUUACAAAGGGAUCCGGCGACUAGAGGGGGAGCUGCCACCGGUGAUGCUGCCGGAGAAGCUGGCGAGGUUCCUCCAGAAGUGCGCCUAAGGAGUUCCAGGACGAGCCCCAGUACGGCGGCGACUGGUGGUACCUUCGCGGCCGGGUUUCAUAUGGUGAGCUGCCUGCUGCUACUACCAUAUUAUAGUACUGCCCGACUACGUGAGGGUUUCAGUUUAUCUAUAAAUGGCACAAGCUGUUCAUUCAGCCGGCACUAUAAGUUGUUGCUUCUACCAAAUCACAAGAUCAGUUUAUCUAUGCUCAUGGAAUUUCGUGUGUAGGGUUACAAUUACAAACUCCGUUGAUUAUUCACGCUCUGGUCGAUGCUCUGUCGGCAGCCCACUGACCAGGCAACUCUGCCGUUGAGGACCGUGUGGACCGCAGGAGGAUCCCUGAUGCUUUGUUGCUCCUGUGAUCUUCAAUUUGAUGUGUGGCUGUCUACAAACGUACAGUAGCUUCAUUCAAAUUCUUUUUAGGAAUUGUUAGAAGAAUUUCUUUGUAGAGUUGAGAGAAAAGAUGCGUAGACAAUAGAAUUAUUUUCAGGUUUGCAAUAAUUCGUUCUAUUUGCUUGCAAACAAAUUGCACAAGCCGUUCAUUUGUUGGAUGAUGUUUGCAUGUAUUUCUAGCAAGUUAUAAAAACUGAUGGAAGAUGCUUCGUGUAUUCUUUUGUGUGUCUACCAGAACAGGCAUGGUGGGAGGGCGAUGCUCCAUUGAUUGCUUUUCUUAAUAUUACAGAGGGAGCAUCGAAGUGGCGAUUGGUACUUUCCCUUUCAGCGGCCAAAGAAAAGCAACACUUUUUCAUGUGAUUUCAGAUGAAACGACCAGAGUGUGUAAAAUCUAGAUCGCUACAAACAGGUCAAGGUUAGUUAUGUUUCUCCUUUUGAUAUUCUCUAGAUAAUGUUAUCAAGCAAGAUCACCUUAGGACAAUAUAAUCUACUAUUUACUUUCUUUGUGUUUCAGUACGUUCGAACUAUUUACAUGUGUGCAAAUGGGCAGAUUUUGAUUAUGCGACUUGGUGCCUUACUUGUUCUGCCUAACUGUUGGAUCCUAGCUCUUAUGUUAUCUACCUAUACCCAGUGCAUGCUAAAAAAUAAAAAUAAAACCUAUGGCCAGUGAUAUGUUUAUGGCUGGAUGUCUACUGCUUCUGUCAAUGCCAUAGUAGAUUCGAUCGAAACUGAUAUAUCUAAACAACAAUUGUUUCAUUUCGAUCAGAUAACAUUAUUUUUUCUGAAAAAUCACAUCCUUUUAUUCAAGUUUGUGGGUGUUUUCCCUGAUCUGUUUGCAACUUGGCAUGAGAGUCCGUUUAUGCAUGUAGUUAUUUUGGUCCAGAAAUCGACCAUGGAUGAUGCUUCUUAUUUUGAAGAGACUAAGUUCUUCCGAGUCUCCGAUAAAAUAAAUAAAGAGGGCUUUAAUGAGAUGAUGCUUCUUAUUUAAUGUUGUUAGAUCUCCUAAAAUAGUUUGAAGGCGUGGGGCUUGCUGGUCAAGUAGGUUGCGCUGCUCCAUCAGGAUGUCCUCCCCCAGUGUAGUGUUAACUGAUUAAUCAUGCACAUCCAUUAAAGCAAAUAUUCAGAAAAAUGUUUAGUUCACUAAUUUAUCAUUCGGUAAAGGACCAGUUGUUUAAUCCUACUAUCUAGACACUUCAUCCAUCCAAUCCAGUAAGUUUAAAUUGAUUAAUCCUGCACAUUCUUAAAUUAUGAAGAGUAAAAAAAGAUUUUGGUGUUGGAGGAGCAGCCAGCAAGUGCAGUUUGCAAACCAAAUGCAGUUUCUAUAGUGAACACUGAUUUGCGACCUCAGCUCAGCCAUAUUGGACGGAUUGAUUACUUUGUGAAAUAGGAGUUAGCCCAUAAUAGAAAUGCCACUCCAAUAUUGGAGGAAGUGUUGAUUGAGCUGAGAAAUUUACUUGAUGAUGAAAGGAACGAUUGGCUUCAAAAUUUGCAGAAUAACUUCUCCAAGCUCUCAGAAGAGAAGCAAUAAUGUGACUCCCAGGUGCAUCUCUGAGAGAAAAGCUGGAGAUGCUUUGCCAGUGGCAAAACAAAGGGAAGUAAUUGCUACGGACGCCAGCCAGGUGUUCAUGCUAUUUGAUUCGUGUUUUCUGCUCUUAAUAAUGCUUCCGUUUUUCUUCUUUUAGAACCCUUCUUUUGUACUCUUACAAAUAACAGAUGAAAGGAGAAGGAUGAAGAAGUCAAGCUAUUGCAGAGAUCAAUUGAGGAGCUCAAAAGAACUUUAGUGUUCUCAAAAGUAGCUUUAUUCAGUUUGAGUGAAUUUUGUGGCCUAAGUGUUGUAGCUAUUCAUUUUGCCACGCAUUCUGAAUGUUAGCACACACCCAUGUUGGUACAGAACUCCUAUUGUUAUGCCUGUUAUGACAACAACUUUCCCAGAUUUUCGUGCAUAAACAUACAUAUGUGGACUAAAUUCUUUUGUUACUUGCUCAGUGAAUACAUAUGUAUGCUUUUUUUUUUGCGGG
rnacentral:lncRNA from 1 species